CCUCAGGCCCGGGCCCCGCCUCCCCUCGCUCCCGAUUGGCCGGGGCGGAAGGAGGGGCGGGCCUCGCCCAAGCCCCGGGCUCUGAGCGGCGCCCGGAGAGCGCGGGCUCCCGCUUCGCGCCGCCGCGUCUCUGUCAGCUCUCGGCCGCGCUCGGGCGUGCUUGCGUGGCUGGUCCGCCAGUUGAACCCUUUGCGACUUUAUUUCUUUGUGGCCAGUAGCAGGUAAAGCUGCCACCUGCAGUGCCAGCACCCCAUAUGGGUGCCGGUUCGAGACCCAGCUGUUCCACUUCCGAUCCAGCUCUCUGCUAUGACCUGGGAAAGCAGUGGAAGAUGGCCCAAGUCCUUAGGCUCCUGCACCCACAUGGGAGACCAGGAAGAAGCUCCUGGCUCUGGAUCGGCGCAGCUCCAGCCGUCGCAGCCAUCUGGGGAGUGAACCAGUGGAUGGAAGACCUCUCUCUCUCUCUGCCUCUCCUUCUCUCUCUGUGUAACUGACUUUCAAAUAAAAUAAAUAAAAGAG